UGUCACAGAUAUUAUACAAGAUCCAAAAGGAGUUAGAAGUUCGAAAUAAGGAAUUGCACGUUGCAGUUGAUAACUCAAAGAGAUUGUUGAGCGAAAACAAGAUUUUGGAGCAAAGCAUUUUCAAUACUGAAAAUAGGAAAAAAGAGGAGGUUGAAAUUCAUCAAAAGAGAUAUGAACAA